GAUGAACGCUGGCGGCGUGCCUAAUACAUGCAAGUCGAGCGAACGGACGAGAAGCUUGCUUCUCUGAUGUUAGCGGCGGACGGGUGAGUAACACGUGGAUAACCUACCUAUAAGACUGGGAUAACUUCGGGAAACCGGAGCUAAUACCGGAUAAUAUUUUGAACCGCAUGGUUCAAAAGUGAAAGACGGUCUUGCUGUCACUUAUAGAUGGAUCCACGCUGCAUUAGCUAGUUGGUAAGGUAACGGCUUACCAAGGCAACGAUGCAUAGCCGACCUGAGAGGGUGAUCGGCCACACUGGAACUGAGACACGGUCCAGACUCCUACGGGAGGCAGCAGUAGGGAAUCUUCCGCAAAGGGCGAAAGCCUGACGGAGCAACGCCGCGUGAGUGAUGAAGGUCUUCGGAUCGUAAAACUCUGUUAUUAGGGAAGAACAUAUGUGUAAGUAACUGUGCACAUCUUGACGGUACCUAAUCAGAAAGCCACGGCUAACUACGUG
rnacentral:rRNA from 1 species